UGUAACGCUGGCGGCAGGCCUAACACAUGCAAGUCGAGCGGUAACAGGUCCAUCUUGCUGGAUGCUGACGAGCGGCGGACGGGUGAGUAAUGCAUAGGAAUCUGCCCGAUAGUGGGGGAUAACCUGGGGAAACCCAGGCUAAUACCGCAUACGUCCUACGGGAGAAAGGGGGCUCCGGCUCCCGCUAUGGGAUGAGCCUAUGUCGGAUUAGCUAGUUGGUGAGGUAACGGCUCACCAAGGCCACGAUCCGUAGCUGGUCUGAGAGGAUGAUCAGCCACAUCGGGACUGAGACACGGCCCGAACUCCUACGGGAGGCAGCAGUGGGGAAUAUUGGACAAUGGGGGCAACCCUGAUCCAGCCAUGCCGCGUGUGUGAAGAAGGCCCUCGGGUUGUAAAGCACUUUCAGCGAGGAAGAACGCCUAGCGGUUAAUACCCGCUAGGAAAGACAUCACUCGCAGAAGAAGCACCGGCUAACUCCGUGCCAGCAGCCGCGGUAAUACGGAGGGUGCAAGCGUUAAUCGGAAUUACUGGGCGUAAAGCGCGCGUAGGUGGCUUGAUAAGCCGGUUGUGAAAGCCCCGGGCUCAACCUGGGAACGGCAUCCGGAACUGUCAAGCUAGAGUGCAGGAGAGGAAGGUAGAAUUCCCGGUGUAGCGGUGAAAUGCGUAGAGAUCGGGAGGAAUACCAGUGGCGAAGGCGGCCUUCUGGACUGACACUGACACUGAGGUGCGAAAGCGUGGGUAGCAAACAGGAUUAGAUACCCUGGUAGUCCACGCCGUAAACGAUGUCGACCAGCCGUUGGGUGCCUAGCGCACUUUGUGGCGAAGUUAACGCGAUAAGUCGACCGCCUGGGGAGUACGGCCGCAAGGUUAAAACUCAAAUGAAUUGACGGGGGCCCGCACAAGCGGUGGAGCAUGUGGUUUAAUUCGAUGCAACGCGAAGAACCUUACCUACUCUUGACAUCCUGCGAAUUUGGUAGAGAUACCUUAGUGCCUUCGGGAA
rnacentral:rRNA from 1 species